CAAGGGGGGGCACAAGGACGUGGUUGGUAGUUUGUCAUCAGUAUUUACUCCGUUCUCAUCGAAGAAAAUGUUCUUUUCCACUCGGUCAUCUCAUAACAGAGAAAGAAGAUUUGAGAGCAUCCUCUUCUAAGGAACGAUUCGUCAUCAUCAAAGCAGUUGCUGCCCUCUUCUUCACUGUAUGCCGUUCGUUCUGCCGGUGAAGUUCAAGUUCUCCUCAAAUUAGCAACACCGAUGUUGGACAUGGUGUCGAUUGUUCUGGACAGUUAACAAGAGAUAGAAUCGAGUAGGAAGUGGUGGUUGUUGAUACAAAUUGGGGUCUGUUGUUUGAAGAAGACGUUGGAUGAGCUAAUUGCAGUUGGAGAGUAGAGAUACAUCAAUUGGUUAAUGGUGUUGGCGGAGAGAAGCGCUGCUGCUGUUUUUUAAGUCAAUGAAUGUGUGCAUGAUUGAAUGCAUUUGAACAUCGAUUUGCAGGGAAAGAGUUUGUGGAAUCUCCAAUUUACAAGCAGUACACGGCCUUCACCAGUUGGCUAGGCGCGCAGAAGAUGUUUGCAGAAUUGCAUGAAAGAAGAAUUAUGGAGAGUCUUAAACGGACAGAGAGAAGAAGUUGCUGGCAGAAAUGUUUGAGUUCAUUGAAGCGUGCAGAUGAUGAGAAUGGCUGAGAUGUUUGAGUUCUAGAAGUGCAGAAUGGAUUCGAUUUUUGAACUGGUUCGAUGGAUAUGUUUGAGCAGCAAAGCUAGGCUCCAGUAUGGGUUGGUCUGGAAUUGAAUGGUUGAGUUGUUGCAGCUGGUAAAGAGAAGACUGAAUGUGUUUCUGCCAUGGAUUUGAGUUGUUAAUGCCUGCAGAGAUUAGAUUUUGAUGGGCCAGUUAAAUGGUGGUUGAGAUGUUGCUAUCGAUGUUGGUGCUGUGAAGAAUAUGGAGAUGGAAUGCAGCUCAGGGAAAUGGUGAGUUGAAGGCCGACGCCAUGGUGUUGUUCUCAGACUUAGAGGGUCUGAAUUUCAAAGCCAGUCGGUGACGGAAAGGAUUCAGGCAACAGAAAUUGCAACUGGUGGAGGUAGCUGCGAAGUCAAGCUGCUGGUGGAGACAAAAAGUUCAUGUUGGCAGCGAACAAAGGCAGUGAUGAUGGUUUGCGCAGAUUUUGGAGAUGAUUAAUGGUGGAAACCUCUCUUAUCUAUAUUUGGUUUUGUCUGGAACGGUCGAUGGUAGCUUCUGAGAAUGAAGGCGAGAGAGUUGGCUCUGAUCAUUAGUUUGUUGAGGGUAUUUGGCGGUUGUUAGCUUGGAAGGAGACGUUCACUGUUGAUGCACAAUACAAGUUGAGCUUUUCGUAUUUUUUAAGCAGCUGCCGUUAGAACUUCUUUUUGGGUUGGUGUUGAGCUCGUGACUGAGAUGAAGCUGAAUAUUGUCUGAGUUUAUCGGAUUUGAGAAGAGAGUGGUGGCUGGAAUGCUAUCGAGAAUGCAGGGCAGGUGCUGAUUGUUUAUAUGGUUGAGUUAUUACUACCCGAGAGUAAGGCAGUGAUGGUUAAUUAACUUCUCCAACAAUACCUAUACAAAUACAUCCAAACAGAAAGAGAAAGUGGAGGCCGGUUUUGGGAGACGAAGAGGAAAGCGGCAGCAGAGCCGCGAAUAGGAGAAAAGAAGGGUUUGCCGUUUUGAUUUUAUUUUCUCCAUGAUUUGCUAAAUUGUUUGUUAGGGUUUAGAUGAAAACCAAUUUAUUUAUAUAAACUCAACAAUGAUAAUUCUAAUAACGAUUUAAUCAAUUAGUAAUUUCUCUUCA